rnacentral:rRNA from 1 species
GACGAACGCUGGCGGCGUGCUUAACACAUGCAAGUCGAACGGAAAGGCCCUGCUUUUGUGGGGUGCUCGAGUGGCGAACGGGUGAGUAACACGUGAGUAACCUGCCCUUGACUUUUGGAUAACUUCAGGAAACUGGGGCUAAUACCGGAUAGGAGCUCCUGCUGCAUGGUGGGGGUUGGAAAGUUUCGGCGGUUGGGGAUGGACUCGCGGCUUAUCCGCUUGUUGGUGGGGUAGUGGCUUACCAAGGCUUUGACGGGUAGCCGGCAUGAGAGGGUGACCGGCCACAUUGGGACUGAGAGACGGACCAGACGCCUACGGGAGGCAGAAGUGGGGAAUAUUGCACAAUGGGCGGAAGCCUGAUGCAGCAACGCCGCGUGCGGGAUGACGGCCUUCGGGUUGUAAACCGCUUUCGCAUGUGACGAAGCGUGAGUGACGGUAAUGGGUAAAGAAGCACCGGCUAACUACGUG